rnacentral:tRNA from 2 species
AGGGGUAUAGCUCAGUUGGUAGAGCAACGGUCUCCAAAACCGUGUGCCGUGGGUUCAAGUCCUACUACCCCUGCCA